GGUCUUGUAGUGUAGUUGGUUAGCACGGCAGGUUUUGAUCCUGCAGUCCGGGGUUCGAAUCCCCGCGAGACCU
rnacentral:tRNA from 1 species